rnacentral:rRNA from 1 species
GACGAACGCUGGCGGCGUGCUUAACACAUGCAAGUCGAACGGAAAGGCCCUGUUCUUGUGGGGUGCUCGAGUGGCGAACGGGUGAGUAACACGUGAGUAACCUGCCCUUGACUUUGGGAUAACUUCAGGAAACUGGGGCUAAUACCGGAUAGGAGCUCCUGCUGCAUGGUGGGGGUUGGAAAGUUUCGGUGGUUGGGGAAGGACUCGCGGCUCAGCAUCUUGUUGGUGGGGUAGUGGAUUACCAAGGCUUUGACGGGUAGCCGGACUGAGAGUGUGACCGGCCACAUUGGGACUGAGAUACGGCCCAGACUCCUACGGGAGGCAGCAGUGAGAGAUAGUGCACGAUGGGCGGAGGCCGUAUGCAGCAUCGCCGCGUGGGGGAUGACGGCCUUCGGGUUGUAAACCGCUUUCGCCUGGGACGAAGCGUGAGUGACGGUAAUGGGUAAAGAAGCACCGGCUAACUACGUG